UUCUGCAGAGAUGCGGAAGUGCCUUCGGGAAGUCAAGUGACAGGUGCUGCAUGGCGUGUCGUCAGCUCGUGUCGUGAGGAUGUUGGGUUAAGUCCCGUAACGAGCGCAACCCUUGUCCUUGUUGCCAGCACGUAAAGGUGGGAACUCAAAGGAGACUGCCGGUGACAAACCGGAGGAAGGUGGGGACGACGUCAAGUCAUCAUGGCCCUUACGGCCUGGGCUACACACGUGCUACAAUGGUCGGUACAGAGGGUUGCCAAGCCGCGAGGUGGAGCUAAUCCCAGAAAACCGGUCGUAGUCCGGAUCGCAGUCUGCAACUCGACUGCGUGAAGUCGGAAUCGCUAGUAAUCGCGAAUCAGAAUGUCGCGGUGAAUACGUUCCCGGGCCUUGUACACACCGCCCGUCACACCAUGGGAGUGGGUUGCAAAAGAAGUGGCUAGUCUAACCUUCGGGAGGGCGGUCACCACUUUGUGAUUCAUGACUGGGGUGAAGUCGUAACAAGGUAGGCGUAGUGCU
rnacentral:rRNA from 1 species